GACGAACCGUCCAAACGUUAUUCGGAAUUACUGGGCUUAAAGGGUGCGUAGGCGGUGCGGAAAGUUGGGUGUGAAAUCCCUCGGCUUAACCGAGGAACUGCGCUCAAAACUACCGUGCUGGAGGAAGACAGAGGUGAGCGGAACUAAGGGUGGAGCGGUGAAAUGCGUUGAGAUCCUUAGGAACACCGGUGGCGAAAGCGGCUCACUGGGUCUUUUCUGACGCUGAGGCACGAAAGCUAGGGGAGCGAACGGG
rnacentral:rRNA from 1 species